CAGAGGAGACACAGGCACACACAGAUUCCCUUUUAUGGAGACUUUGCAUGUAUGGAUGUAAAAACUUAAAAUUGGAAACUAACUUCCUAUCUUUACUAGAGAGGCGGGAAUAUGCAGUCGUAGCCUGGAAGAACAAACAGCCUUGCUCCUGACUCCAUGUGUUCCUUGAAGACCAUUUGAUAAGAGGCCUUCAGCGGUGAGGAGAAAGUACAUCAAGGUUCUUGAUCUGGGGGUCACAACCAAGAGUCAGGGAUCAAGACUAUGUUGUCCUUUUCAUACUCCCGAAUGGGAAGACGGUCCUAGCUUGAUGGGAGAAGGGUUCUGCAGGUGGAUGAGGAGACAGCGGAAGGAAAAUCCUGGAAUGGAGAAGUUUGACCUAUUUCUUUUUCCAACACAAAAUUCUAAACUUUAGAAAUUUGCACUAAAACCUUUUAGAAAACAACUGCUAAUGAGUUCUCACCUGUUACGUAAUUCUUUAAAUCAAGUUCGUUGCUGAGAGGGUUGUUGCUCUUGAACAUGUAUAAGUUGAAUGGAGCAGGCUCCUUACCAAUAUUUUUCCACAUUGUGUAAUCAGGCGAUGUCCAACGCCCAGCUAGAACAUCAUAGUCUCUCUGAGUAAAAUGAACCAGCUUGGUCAGAGGAUCAUACAGCCCUCCAUGAAAUCCAAUGACCAAUUGAAAGUCAGGGUUGGAAUCAUAAUAUAUCUCUCCAUAUGCAGUGUACUGAAGCUGCUUGAUCAUGAGGCCAUUAAUACUGAAUACCGCCAGUGGUGUACCUGUGUUAUCGGAGGCAACAUAGUAUUCUUCUCCACUGCUGCUUUCCAUUGCAAACAGAUGGCCUUGUAGAUCAUAGUAUAGAGAAGUAAUUUCUGAAUUGGAAUGAUUGUAAACAUGUGUCAUUCUCGUUGGGUUGUGAAGGUCAGCGUAAAAGUACUGAAGAUGGUGUCCCAAGUUAGUCUUACAAGAAGCCCUUCGCCCUAACCCAUCAUAACGGUACUGAAUACUCCAUCCACUUGCUUUGUUGUAAGCUCUUGUUAAGAGACCUUUUGAGUUGUACUCAAAUAUAUCUGAGCCUCGUUGACAUAGGAACCCAUCAUCAUCAAUUUUGUACUGCAUGUCACCCAGACGUGUAAUCCUGUCUCUUAGAUCAUAGCGUAGCGGCAUCAACCGUACGCUGUUCCCUGGAUUCAAGAGAUGAAGAUUCCCAUUCAGAUCAUAACUAUAACGCCAGGUUGGUCUGUCAUUUACUGCCACACUUUGGAGCUGCCCAUCUCCAUCAUAAUCAUAGGUAUAUUUGGUUGUGUUGGCAUAAGGUCCAAGCUUCAGUUCUCUCUUUGUUACUCUUCCCAUGCUGUCAUACUGGACUGUCAUCCAAUACAUGAGUGAUCGGAACAUUUCAUACUGAACUUCUUUAAUACGCCCAUGGGUAUCAAAGUGUUUACUCAGUGUCAUCACCGCUGUAGUAAUUAUUUGAUUUAUAUCAUAAUAAAUGACUCCAAAUUUGCCAAAAUGCUCUACUUUGCCAGAGAUCUCAUCAUAACGAUAAAGAUCAACAGGAAGAGGAGUCUCACUUAUUAUAGGCUUGAUGCUAGCAAUCCGAAAGCUAUUAUCAUGAUAGGUGUAAUCAAACCUUGCAUUGACCAUGCCUUCUUCAGAAAAUCUGUAGAUUUGUUUGUCAACCAGUGGUCCAAUUUUACGGUACCGGAUUGUGCAAGAAAAGCCGCCACUCUGUAAGUUAACCAUUUUCAGAACUCCAGUAGUUUCAUCAUAUCCAAAAGUAACUGCAGUGCUAUCAUAAACAAUUUCAGACAGCUUGGAUAGUUUCCCGUACUUGUAGAAGACUUGUCGACCAGUUCCUAAAAAAGAUGUUUUCAAAAUCCUCCCAUCAUCACUGUAAUCAAAAAUCACUGAAGCAUUGCUUUCAGGAGGGUUAUAAAUAUUCCUAAUGUAGCCAAUAGAUGUAUGAGUGGACAUGCUGUGCCGAGCAACACUAGGCAUGGUGACAGCCUGGAGACGGUCUGUGGAAUCGUAUUCAAAGAUGUACUGCCGUUGGCUCUGAAGCAGUAGUACCAUGGACUAUUACAAAAAUAAAAAGACAAAAGAUUAUAUAUUUUUAGUGUCUUUCCAUUUCUUUCGCUUUCUGAACUUAUGGGGGAAAAAGCAAAUUUUUAAAUC